rnacentral:rRNA from 1 species
GGUGGCCAUUUUAUUUUAUUAGAGGAACUUGUAUUUUAAUCCGAUAAUCCCCGUUAAAUUUAUCUUUUUNUCAAAGCCUUUAUAUCGCCGUUUAAAGAAAUCGAUAAAAUUCCAUUUCAAAAUAAAAAAACUUUUCACGUCAGGUCGAGAUAAAACCAAUGAAAAAGGGAGCCGAGUUACUUAUACUCUUUAUUUACAUUCUUCUUUCCAAACAUUCAAGAAUCAAGGAUUUAAUAGUAAUAAAUUAUUAAAAUUUUUAGAAAAAGCAAGAAGGCACACAUCGCCCGUCGCUCUU